UGAAAAGCGACUGAUGCACAAAACACGUUUGCCUUUGGUGCUAAAAUCUGUUUAGCGCAGGUAUACCUACGUCCUUACGAUUUACGAAUCUUUUGUAACAAAUGAGUGUUACAAUGUUAAGGGUUCAAAACGUGCGAGGAACACAUUAGCUGCCAAUAUAACAUCACAAGAAAAUGAAGAAUUAUGUAUUAUCAAAAAAUAAUUGUUAGUUGGUGAAAACGGUCGCGGUCUGGUUUGAAGCUCUGCCUUCAUCGAGGGGGUGUUGACGGUAUUCAUCAGGAAUCCAUCAGUGGGUAAAACGAUUCCAGCGAUCUAAAAGAUUCUAAACAGAUUCAUUCGGAAACCAAUUGAAACCCAAAACGUUACAUCAAAAAUAUAAAUAGGAACUCCAGAUUCAGUAGAAACGUUGAGUGGAGAGGAAAACACGGACAAACUAUACCAUUACAGGGAAAUCUGUAUUUAUUUAUUUUUGCGUUGGUCAUGUUUGGGAAACUUUGCAUUCCGGUCGGUUCUCCAGCCAUAAAACAUUGUUACCAGCGUAGCAGCGGCGUCUUCCGUGGUUUUGCGUGAGUGAGGCCCCCGCCAGCAGAACCUAUAAAUACAAUCACCCUAAAUCACUUCGGAGGUCGUAUCAAGUCCUCCUCUUCGGUUGUGAGAUGGUGCGAAGAGCGUCGCUAUCAAUAAAACAUAAAUGCCGCUUUAAAUCACUUCCCAUGCCGCCGCAGCGGCCUCCUCCGUGAUUGUGCGGGGAAGAUGCCUCCGUCCGUUAUCUUAACAGUAUUCUAGGUGUUAUAUACUUAUGUGUGCAGGUGUUUUGUGUGUCCAUCCAUUCUUGUGUUGUCUAACUACAUGGCCAUUGUUUUUCUUCCGUUUUCUCCUUCCGACACCUGAUUUGACUUUUCGAAAAAUUUUUGCCGCCAUUCUUCUUCCGUGGACAGGGCGGUCACAUGUUUUUUAGGCAGCUGACCCCCGCACGCACCUGUUCGACAUCUCCCGCGCCACUGUGCUGCACCUGCAGUUAGAUAUAUUUUAUUUUAAACAAAGUUUUAAUUUUAGUUCAACAAGCUUUGAAUACAAAAUAUAUUUUAUAUUCAAAGGUUCAAGUGAGGAUACCCCUAGAGUUAUGCAACACAACUCACAUCAAACAGAAUCGAAGUACGGAAACACAUACGAAAUGCUAUGUAUAUGUUGUGUAUAGUGGUACACGAUAAAUUUUGUUUAUAUGCUAAAUAGUAUGCGUACUGCUUUGUGUGGCCAUUUGUACCUUUCGUGUUAAAUUUAUGCCCAUGCAAUUUAGAGCCAUGCCAUUUUGAUGUUGUUAUGUAACAUGAAAUUUACCAUUCAUAAAUUAAUAAACAAAGCCUAGCGCGACGCAGCGUAUGGAUUUCAUAGGGUUUUGAA